UGCAUUUUGCAUCCCUUGUUACCAAAUCAACAAUUAUAAAAUGUCACUUUCCCACCCAAUUUGCUCUUAAAAUUAAGCAACAGUAGAUUAAACAGUAAACGCCACUUUCCCACCGUCUGUAAAUCCCAUUCUGAACGUUCACAAGAAAGGUAGGAUGGUCAAAAUCUCGUUCAGUGUAGCGGCUGAAUGGUUGCCACGUGUCCUACCAAAGUUGACUUAAAAAACAAGGGAAAAGCUAAAGCCCUUUAUAACUUUUGAGUUUAUUGGGAGCGGCGAGUGGCGACUAAUUACGGCUAUCGGCGACUGGCAAAAAAUAAGGGUUAAAAGCAUUAGCUCGCUACUGGUUAUGACGAGGACUGAGAAAAAAAUAGGGUUCUAAGCAGCGACUGGCAACUGGUUAACCAGGAAGGACGACGACUGAAGGAACACCGGCGACAAUGGACGACCAAAGGCUGUUUAGGGUUUAGGGUUCGACUGUUUACGCUUUUACUUAAGAGAUUGGUAUAUUGGUACAGUCCUCCACAUUGGAUUUAGGAGAGGCAGUAAUGCAGUAUGGACAAUCAAUUGAUGACGGGGAAACUAGCCAGGCUCAAAUUCCACAGCUUCUCGGAUCAUUCGAGCUUCCUUAGUGGAAAACAAAAGAUUGUGAAAAAGGUUUUGAAGAUCCAGAAAGCAAAAGAAAAGCAAGCUUCAAGGAGCUAGAAAGUGGAAUGGGGAAAGCAAAACUUCUUGGAUUUUAAGAAAUGAAUGAGAAACUGUCUUAUAAGAACAUCACUAGAAAUUUGUAAUUAAUUGACAAAAUGAUUCGAAUAUAUAUAUAUGCACUGUAAUUUUG